rnacentral:siRNA from 1 species
AAGGCAGGUCCGUUGAUUCCAA